UUUCAAUCUCUUUAGCCGAAUUUACCUAUUAUAUUUUUAUCAUAUAAACGUUAUGCAAAAUGUUUAUGUUAAUGUAUGGCGAAAAUUGAAAAAUGGAAAAUAAAAAUAUUUGUGCUGCUUUCACUAUUUAUCUAUGUUAAUCUCUUUGAUAAAAUGAAGUGGAUGUCAUUAUUUCCAUGCAUCAGUAAUUACAAUCCAUAUUAUGCUCUUGCUAGUCUGUGCUCCAUUUGAACAUCGCAACGAACUUAUUUACUUACAUAUAUUUUGUGCUUUCUGGUUGGAAAUUGGAAGUUUUAACCAAUUUCUGAUCAGAAACAGCCCUUUUGAGUGCUAUGGCAGAAACCGCAGACGCGGCCUAACCUUCAUUUUUAAUUUGUAUCAAUUGGUAGUUUUUUAUCAUAUAAACGUUAUGCAAAACGUUUAUGUUAAUGUAUGGUGAAAAUUGAAAAAUGGAAAAUAAAAAUAUUUGUACUGCUUUCACUAUUUAUCUAUGUUAAUCUCUUUGAUAAAAUGAAGUGGAUGUCAUUAUUUCCAUGCAUCAGUAAUUACAAUCCAUAUUGUGCUCUUGCUAGUCUGUGCUCCAUUUGAACAUCGCAACGAACUUAUUUACUUACAUAUUUUUUGUGCUUUCUGGUUGGAAAUUGGAAGUUUUAACCAAUUUCUGAUCAGAAACAGCCCUUUUGAGUGCUAUGGCAGAAACCGCAGACGUGACCUAACCUUCAUUUUUAAUUUGUAUCAAUUGGUAGUUUUUUAUAACUCUCUCUUUUCCCCUCUAUCAAUAAUGAAUGGUAUUCGCUAGAGAAACCGUAAGGGGACUAAUCAUUGUGAAAAGCACUAGGUGAUAACUAGCAGUUUCAAUUUGAC
rnacentral:lncRNA from 1 species